UACGGGGGGGGUAAGCGUUGUUCGGAAUUACUGGGCGUAAAGGGCUCGUAGGCGGCCAACUAAGUCAGACGUGAAAUCCCUCAGCUUAACUGGGGAACUGCGUCUGAUACUGGAUGGCUUGGAUUCGGGAGAGGAAUGCGGAAUUCCAGGUGUAGCGGUGAAAUGCGUAGAUAUCUGGAGGAAUACCGGUGGCGAAGGCGGCAUCCUGGACCGAGAUUGACACUGAGGAGCGAAAGCCAGGGGAGCAAACGGG
rnacentral:rRNA from 1 species